CCAGAAAGGUGGCUUAGACAAAGGAAGAAAUGUUAGGAGAUCUAGGUUUGAAUUAACUUUGCCCCAGGGGCCACAGCCCAGAGACCAUCAGGUGCAGGGAUUCGCACAGAACCAGUUAGACAAAGCAACACUCCUCCUGUGUUUUACAGUGAAGACGCACGAGAAGAAAGCAGGUGCAUGUAAUGAGAGUAAAUACGGUAAUGGGUUCAUUUGCAAGUUGGAGCUCUGGACUUGGGACUUAGGAGUGCCAGGAGGGGCCCACUCAGAGCCUAGUCCGACCCGGACUGAAGACAAGGUUGGCAAGACAAGGUGAGAGACAAGGUUGGCUCACCUCCUGGGAACUAGGCUACGACUAGGAAAGAGGAAGCACGGCCUUAACCCCAACGGGAGCCACGGCCUCUGCCCUGCAAAGUGCUACUGAGAAAAGCAAAAGAUUAAGGUAAUGUUCCAGUCUUCACCAAGGCCACGGCUUCAGGGGUACUGAGGUUUUGGUUGAUCCUUUGUUCCUGGUUAUUGAAAGCGGACCCCAAAGGAGAAGUCACAGCAAAGAAGUUGCCACAAAGCAGUUCUAGAUGUCAGAAGUCCAAAGUCAGUAUCACUGGAGUGAAGCCAAGAUAUUGUCAGGCUGGUGCCUUCUGGAAGGUCUAGGAGAGAAUCUGUUUCCUGCUUUUUGCAGCUUCUAGAGACUGCCUGGAUUCCAUGCUCACGGCCCCUUCCUCCAUCUUCAAAGCCAGCAACGUGGCAUCUGACCACUUUUCCAUUAUCAUGUCUCUUUCUGUGACUGGAUCCAGGAAAGUUUCUCUGAUUUUCAAGGUCUCUUUCCUCAAUCACAUCUGUAAAGACCCUUUUGCCAUAUACGGAAACACAUUUACAUGUUCUAGGGAUUAGAACGUGGAUAUCUUUGGGGGCCAUUAUUCUGUCUCCCACAAGGGACCACAUUAAUAUUUGUAAUUUGUUGUAAUUUCUUUUCUCAAUCUUUCUCGCAAAUACAUAUUCUCUUUGGUACCUAA